UCCAGUCGCAGCUCUCCCGCCACCCAGCCCAGCCCAAAUUUCCCAGAGAGCAAUUAGAACGGGAAUUAGGCUGCAUUGAUGCGUACCGGCUGGUUUGCGGGAGCUUUGGGGCCGAGACCAUAGCUUGGGGGCACCGCAUGCCAAGCACCAGGGGACCACUGAGCCCUCACUCUUGCUAGAUGGCGAGAUGGCACGCCCUCCACGCAGUUGUUUGUGGCUGCUCGUACUGCACGGAUGUCAUGAACAGUGCAAAGCCGUGCGGACGCCUCGGGUUUGGGCAGCCUUGUACUGAUUCAUCCCCCCCCAAACCCCCUCCGGAAAGCUUCCUGGUCUCACGAUUCCGUUCACGGUUCAGAGCAGGUGACGGUGGCGAUUUGUAAAAAUCGAAAGUAGUAAAUUCGAAAUCUUUUAUGCUAAUUUCUCAUUGUAUGUUAAACGCACAGGGACAGAGACAACUCUGAAUCCGGGGUGGGGGGGUUUUAAAAACUGAAGCUGUGUACAUAGAGCCGGGGCAUUUGAAGUUGUUUAACCAUUGUGUGACCAGAAAAGAAAAAAAAAAUGCUGCGACGGGAGGAGGAAGCAAAGCGCAACAGAAACCGGGAAAGACAGAAGAGUGCUCUUCCUUUCUCUCCAGUCGUGGGAAGGCAGCGCUUUCGUGUGCACCGGUGUGUCUAGUGGACUGUGCACGAGUGGAGAGGGGGCGCGCCAAGUCUGAGAGAGUCUAGACCAUCCGCACUCCCCGAGUUUGGUGGGGUGGGAGAGCGUCAUACUCCUGAACUGGGCUUUCACUCCCCUUGCCCUGUAUCUGUCCAUGUUUUCAAAAGCUAUGCAUCCGUGUA